rnacentral:lncRNA from 1 species
GCUCGGGCCUCACCACACACCUCAUACACACACCUGAUGCACACACACCUGACACAUCCCCAGAAACCACACCUCGAACACCAGACACAUCCAAACACACACCUCACACACAUCCCAGACACACACCUCACACAAACACCCCCCACACACACACCUCACAAACACCCCAAACACCUGACACACACACACCCCAGAAUCACACAUCUCGAACACCAGACACAUCCAAACACACCCCAGACACACACACCCCAGACACACACCCAACACACACCCGACACACACACCACACACACCUCACACACACCCCAGACACACACACACCUGACACACCCGACACACCCCCAGAAUCACACACCUCAAACACCACAUUCAAACACACACCUCACACACACCCGACACACACCUGACACACACGUGACACACACACCUGACACACCCCCAGAAACAUACACCUGACACACACCUCACACACACCCAACAACACAUAUACCUGAUACACACCCCAGGCACACAUUUGACACACACACCCCACACACCUGACACACAUACCCCAGAAACACCUCAAACAACAGAUACAUCCAAACACACACCUCACACACACCUGACACACACACCCUAGUAAUACACACAUCAAAUACCAGACAUCCAAACACACAUCUCACACACACCUCAGACACACACACAGCUGACACACACCUGACAGCCCCCAGAAACACACAUUUCAAACACCAGACACAUCCAGACACACACCUCACACACACCCCAGACACACACACACCUGAGACACACCCCACACACCUAACCCGCACCCCACACACCUGACCCACACCCCAGAAACACACAUCUGACACACACCCCAGACACACACACCUGACACUCUCCCCAGAAACACCUCAAACACCAAAUACAUCUAAACACACAAUUCACACACACCCCAGAUAUACCUCACACACACACCCCAGACAUACCUCACACACACACACCUGACACCCCAGAAACACACCUCACACACCAGACACACCCACACAUCUCACAUACACGACACGCACCUGACACCCACCCCAGAAACACACAUCUCACACACCAGACACCCAAACACACCUCACACACACCCCUGACACACACCCCACACCUGACACACACACCUGACCCACACCCCAGAAACACACACCUUAAACAGCAGAAACACCCAAACACACCCCCCCACACACCUGACACACCUGAUGCCCAUCUGACACAUACCCCAGAAACACACCAGACACACCCAAACACACUCACCUCAAACACAUCCCUGACACACACACACCACACACCUGACAUACACACACCUGACCCACACCCCAGACACACACCUGACACACACCCCAGAAAUACACACCUCACACACCAGACACACCCAAACACACACCUCACACACGCCACACACCCCUCAGACAGACGCCUCACACACCAGCCAUACACACAUCACAUACACCUCUCACACACACCCCCAACACACACCUCACACACACCUCACACACGCUCUUGACCCAUACAGUUCACACACCAGACACACCCAAACACACACACCUCACACACCCAAGACACACCCACACACGCCCCAACACACACCUGACACCAGUCACCCAGGAAACACGCUUCACACACACCACACACCCAGACACACACCGCAAACACCACACAACGACACAUACACCCAAACACCCCAGACACACAUACCUCACAUCAGACACCACAUACCCAACACACCUCACAUAUACCCUAGACACACCAGAAACACACACCUACCAAACACACACACACCAGACACACCCCCUGCAGACCUGACACACCCACACCUGACACACACCUCACACACCAAAACACCCUAGACACACAUCCCAAACACUGGACACACACCUCACACACACACACUAGACACACCCCCAUACACACCUUACAGACACACCAGACACACGCCACACACACCUCACACCACACACCUGACACAUACAUGAUACACACCCGACACACAGACACACCCUGGACUCAUACCCCGGAUGCGCACCACACACCCCCCCCAGACACACCUCACAAAUGCACCCCACAUACUGCUUACACACCAGACACACCUGACAUGCACACCCCAAACACCUCACACAUCCCAGACACACACAACUCACACACAUGCCUGACACAUACACCAGAUACACACCCCAGACACACACAUCCCAUGCACACCUCACACAUGCAUCAGACACACACAACCCAGAUACACACCUCACAAACGCACCACACACCCCCAGAUCUACACACCUGACACAACCCUCACACACCUAACACACACCCUCACACACCUAACACACACACCUCACACAAACACUCCACAUACCUCAGGCACACACACCCCAGACACACACAUGCUCGAAACACGCACCUCCCAUGCACAUACACCCUCACACACCUCACGCACACACCAGCCACACAUGCCUGACAUAUACUCGACACACACAUCCCUUACACACUCCAGACACACACGCCUGACAUACAACUCACACACACUUCACACAUGCACACCUGACACAUGUAUCCCUGACCUGCACACACACCCUUCACACAUACACCCUAGACACACCCUGGAUCCACCCACUCUUGACACACACCCUAGACACUGACAACCCCACACACAAACCCUUGACACACACCCCAGACACCUCCAAACACCCCUCACACAUAUAUCCCAGAUGCACACACACCCCUACACACCUCAGGCACACACACUCCUGACACAUGCACCCCAUGCACCCUCCCACACAGGUGGCACACAUUCCUCACACACACCUGACACACACCUGACUCAGACACACCUGUCACCCCAGCAGACACCUGACACACUCAAAACACCUCUCACACCUGACACACAUCACGCAAACAUUUCACUUACCUCACACACCUGACAGCCCUCACGCACACCUCACACACACCUGACAUACACAUGUGACACACACACAUCUCACACAUACACACCCUCACGCACACGCACACACGCUCGCCGCCUCACUGUGCAGGGGCAGGUGCCCUGGCCAGCUCAACCCUGGCUGCUCCUUGGUCUGGGGCCCCCCCCAGAGUCUCCAGGUGGACCUUGGGUGGAUGCUCAGACUCCCCCGUCCCCUCCGCCUUUGUGCUGGGUCAGACCCAGCUGGGUUUGGCUCUCACUCACCCUGAGGAUGGCCCUGGCGCCCGCAUGGUGCCCAGCACACAGAAGGCGCUCCAUAGGCAUUUGCCUGAGUGCGGCUCCCAGCU